GUCAGCCACGGGAAUUCCUUUCUGGUUCAAAUGUGGACAUGUGAGCCCAUCAUUCCAUGAGACACCAGGGGACAUCCACUGGGACAUGCUGAUUGUGAUGACCCAGGAAGGACCCUUGACCCAGUGUCUGGCCUGUAGUAGGGCUCGCACAAAGGGCUCAAAUGGAAAGCAGCUGCAGAGACAGAGAAUCCGAUUGUGAAGGCACCCGAGACUCCAGGCAGGCGGAAGAGGCAGCGUCUUGGGUGCUGGGCUGGGUAACAGAGGCCAGGGUAUUGACCAGAAACUCCAACAAGCAGGGGACAGCUUGGGGGGUGGGGGGUUGUCUCCCACCCCUUCUUCAGGGUGCUGGCCUAGGAGACAGGGACCCCGCCUCGGGCAUCUCCUGCUUAACCUCAGUUUCUGUGUCCAGACAUGGGCAGGCCAUCCUGACUCUCUUAGCCUUGGUUUCCAUCUCCAAAAUGUGUCCAGUAGUGGCACCUUCCUUCUAGGGAGGGGUUGUGUGGUUAAGGUCUCGGGGCGGGCUCCUCAGUCAAACAGGCUUGGCUUUGAUCCUGCCUCUGCCUCUCACUAACUGUGUGACCUGGAGUAAGCCACCUCCCCUCCCUGUGCCUUGAUUUUCCCAUCUGUGAAAUGGAAACAAUAAUAGAACUAAUCUGCUGGGGAGAUGAACUGAGAAGACUCAGCCUGGUGCCUGGAGCAGAGUAAAGACUAAUGAUUAUUGUUGUCUUUCUUUUUGGAGGCAGAGUCUCACUGUGUUGCCCAGCCUGGAGUGCAGUGGCAGUGGCGCGAUCUCGGCUCACUACAAGCUCCACCUCCCAGGUUCAAUCAUUGACCCUCCAGCCUCAGCCUCCCGAGAAGC
rnacentral:lncRNA from 1 species